rnacentral:ncRNA from 2 species
AUUCCAUGUCUCCUUAACCCUUCGGGGUAUUGGAGACGCGGAGUUUUCUGUGAAGCCGGCGCGUGAGCGAUCCGGUGGAGAGAUCACUAGUGAGAAUGAUGACAUGAGUAGCGACAAAGAGUGUGAGAGACACUCUCGCCGAAAGUCCAAGGGUUCCUGCUUAAAGCUAAUCUGAGCAGGGUAAGCCGACCCCUAAGGCGAGGCCGAAAGGCGUAGUCGAUGGGAACCAGGUUAAUAUUCCUGGGCCAGAUGGAAGUGACGGAUUUCGAGGGUAGU